CUUUUUUACUUUUAUUUACCUUUCUCCCCUUGAUUUCAUUUUCUGUGGUAUGUUGAAAAAGAAAGUUUACUCAAUAAAGCUUACAGAUUUAAAACACAUCAGAGAACGCAUUACCAGUCAGUGUGUUGAAAUUGAUGGCAAUGUAGACUUAUUUA